AGUGAACGCUGGCGGUAGGCCUAACACAUGCAAGUCGAACGGGAGCACCGUAAGUAGUUGCUCUUACGGGUGGCGAGUGUGGGACGGUUGAGUAAUACUUCGGAAUCUUCUUUUACGGGGGGGCUAACGUAGGGAAAUGUACGCUAAUAACGGAUACGACGUACUGGUGAAAGCAGGGGAUCUUCGAACCUUGCGCUAGUGAAAGAGCCGAUGUCGGAUUAGCUUGUUGGCGGGGUAAAGGCCCACCAAAGAUACGAUCGGUAGCUGGUCUGACAGGAUGAUCAGACACACGGUAAGUGAGACACGUUACAGACUCCUACGGUAGGCAGCAGUGGGGAAUACUGGGCAAGGGGCCAAUGCCUAAUCCUGCAAAACCGCGUAGGUGAAGAAGCCGUACUGGUUGUAAAGCCCUUAAGUUGUGAAAGAAAAGCAGCAGGUUAAUCCCGCGUGAUUAUGACGGUACCCAAAGAAUAAGCACCGGCUAACUUCGUG
rnacentral:rRNA from 1 species